GGGGGGGGGUUGUGAAAAUGUUGUGGUGAAUACGGAUGAAUAAAAUCAAAACACUGACACAAACAGAAAUGCAAACACAUAUCUAAAAACGGUUUCCAAGACAGACUGAAAAUGGUUGGUCAUUAACUUAAUUACAAUGCUUCCUAUCACAGGUCAACAAAAUAAAGCAGUGACUCUAACCUCUAAUCUAACACAGUUAACCAACUAAGCGAAGGCUAAUCAUGUUUUCAUAAAGGCGAACUAAGCGAACGCAAUGUUAACAUCAAAUCCAAUUUACACCAUGUAGUUUCAUCAA
rnacentral:lncRNA from 1 species